AGUUUGAUCAUGGCUCAGAUUGAACGCUGGCGGCAUGCCUUACACAUGCAAGUCGAACGGCAGCGACGGGAGCUUGCUCCUGGUGGCGAGUGGCGAACGGGUGAGUAAUACAUCGGAACGUACCCUGAAGUGGGGGAUAACGUAGCGAAAGUUACGCUAAUACCGCAUAUUCUGUGAGCAGGAAAGAGGGGGAUCGCAAGACCUCUUGCUUUAGGAGCGGCCGAUGUCGGAUUAGCUAGUUGGUGAGGUAAAGGCUCACCAAGGCGACGAUCCGUAGCGGGUCUGAGAGGAUGAUCCGCCACACUGGGACUGAGACACGGCCCAGACUCCUACGGGAGGCAGCAGUGGGGAAUUUUGGACAAUGGGCGCAAGCCUGAUCCAGCCAUGCCGCGUGAGUGAAGAAGGCCUUCGGGUUGUAAAGCUCUUUCGGUGGGGAAGAAAUUGCUUCGGUUAAUACCUGGAGUAGAUGACGGUACCCGCAUAAGAAGCACCGGCUAACUACGUG
rnacentral:rRNA from 1 species